UUCUCUUGUCCUUCAUUCCACCGGAGUCUGUCUCGUACCCAACCAGAUUUCAGUGGAGUGAAGCUCAGGAGGCG
rnacentral:pre_miRNA from 1 species